UACAGAGGGUGCAAGCGCUAAUCGGAAUUACUGGGCGUAAAGAGUGCGUAGGUGGAUAAUUAAGUCAUAUGUGAAAGCCCCGGGCUUAACCUGGGAAUUGCGUCUGAAACUGGUUAUCUAGAGUAUGGUAGAGGAUAGUGGAAUUUCCGGUGUAGCGGUGAAAUGCGUAGAUAUCGGAAGGAACACCAGUGGCGAAGGCGACUAUCUGGGCCAAUACUGACACUGAGGUACGAAAGCGUGGGUAGCGAACAGG
rnacentral:rRNA from 1 species